CCUACGGGAGACAGCAGUGAGGAAUAUUGGUCAAUGGGCGCAAGCCUGAACCAGCCAAGUCGCGUGAGGGAUGACGGUCCUAUGGAUUGUAAACCUCUUUUGUCGGGGAGCAAGGCGCGCCACGUGUGGCGGGAAGGAGAGUACCCGAAGAAAAAGCAUCGGCUAACUCCGUGCCAACAGCCGCGGUAAUACGGAGGAUGCGGGCGUUAUCCGGAUUUAUGGGGUUUAAAGGGUGCGUAGGAGGGAGGUUAAGUCGGGGGGGAAAGUCUGUGGCUCAACCAUAGAAUUGCCGUUGAAACUGGGAGGCUUGAGUAUGGUUGAGGCAGGCGGAAUGCGUGGUGUAGCGGUGAAAUGCUUAGAUAUCACGCAGAACCCCGAUUGCGAAGGCAGCCUGCCAAGCCGUGACUGACGCUGAUGCACGAAAGCGUGGGGAUCAAACAGGAUUAGAUACCCCAGUAGUC
rnacentral:rRNA from 1 species